CUCAGGUUCUCUGGCAGACUAUACUAUACUAUUCCAGAGUCUGGGGGCAUAGUAACUAAAGGCUGCCUCUCCAUGCCUCUUGGUCCCCCUCAGGUUCUCUGACAGACUAUACUAUACUUUUCCAGAGUCUGUGGACAUAGUAACUAAAGGCUGCCUCUCCAUGCCUCUUGGUCCCCCUCAGGUUCUCUGACAGACUAUACUAUACUAUUCCAGAUUCUGGGGGCAUAGUAACUAAAGCCUCUCCAUGCCUCUUGGUCCCCCUCUGGUUCUCUGGCAGACUAUACUCUUCCAGAGUCUGGGGACAUAGUAACUAAAGGCUGCCUCUCCAUGCCUCUUGGUACCCCUCAGGUUCUCUAGCAGCAUAGUCCAGAGUCUGGGGGUAUAGUAACUAAAGCCUCUCCAUGCCUCUUGAUCCCCCUCAGGUUCUCUGGCAGACUAUACAAUACUAUUCCAGAGUCUGGGGGUAUAGUAACUAAAGGCUGCCUCUCCAUGCCUCUUGGUCCCCCUCAGGUUCUCUGGCAGACUAUUCCAGAGUCUGGCGGUAUAGUAACUAAAGGCUGGCGGUAUAGUAACUAAAGGCUGGCGGUAUAGUAACUAAAGGCUGGCGGUAUAGUAACUAAAGGCUGGCGGUAUAGUAACUAAAGGGUGCUUGUCUCUUCAGACAGGAACUGCUUUUUUAUUAUUGAUGGCUAUUGAAUGACCUCUGAAGGUACAGUUAAAAGGUAUCCCAAACAAUAAGGGGAUUUGCUGAACCUAUAUUGUACAGGAAAUAUUCAGUUAUAAUGAUUUUGUCUUAGUUAAGAUUAAAUUGUCAUCCAGUAAAUAUUGGUAUUGGAUUAAAAUGUUAAAAAUGUA
ensembl:lncRNA